rnacentral:lncRNA from 1 species
UUCUGCCUCAGCCUCCCGAGUGGCUGGGAUUAUAAGUGCAAUUCACUGUGCCUGGCUUUUGUCCUUUGUUUUUCACUGGCUUUUGCUCAGCAUAUUUUUGAGAUUCAUUCAUGUUCCUUGCAGUCUCAUCCUACUCAAGUGUGGCUCUGUAUCCAACAACAGUCUUGGAGAUCUCAUGAAGAUUUCUGAAACUUUUGCUCUGCAGGAUACCUUCCUUUGUGGUUAUGUGCCCUGAAAACUCCAGCCUCCGUGUCUUCAAUUCAGUGAAACUACUACUCUGCUUGGAUUCCCCUCUUAUACAAUGGUCUACCAAGUGACUGCAAACAGAAAUCUAAGGGAAUUUCAGGAGUCACCUCAUUUAUUUUCCUUUUUUUCAGGGAUUAUAGUAGUACUAUACCACCUGUCAGCCAAUGUGUGAGAAUGGUGGUUUCAUACAUUUUCUCCAAUUCUUUCUUGUUACAGGAGCCUCCAUUACUUUUCAAACAGUAAUGCAGUUGCAGUUGCCUCUCCUUUUCUUCAUUAUGUGUUUAUCUCUGGCAGUUUGAGCCAAGAGAGGGCACGGAGAAGUACAAUGACUAGAGAGCACUUCUGUUGAGGCUCAUUCAUUGACCCCUACCCCAGUGCUUUAUGAAUGUGUGCUGCAGAUGUCAUACAGCAUCACAGCUUCUUCUCUAAUUUAUGAGCCAUAAUUUUUUUUUUUGUAUUUUUAUUGUAUUACCUGCUUGGUUGCAAGAGGAUGAUGAGGAGGACUACUAUAGGAUAAAUUUGUUUUUAUAGAGCAAUUUCUCAUGGGUCACGAGGGAUAGUACUCCAUUUUCCUCACUGAUAUCGGCUUGAUCAUCUGAGUCAGUGGGCUCAUUGUGGAAACAUAUGGAAUCCUUUAUGCUUUUUCUCAGGCUGCUUCUGUUACAUGAAAUAAAGCCAGAGUUGAUUGUGAA